ACGUAACAGCAGCCGUGAAGGCUUAGACAUGGUUGGGGGGAGAAACUAAUGGCAACAGAUCGCACGGGGAAUCGGGCAAUCUCGAGGGGCGGGAGCGGCCCCGUUUUAGACAUCUGUGUUGGCGUCGCCAAGGCCCCCCACCUUCCGCCACGUGCCCUCCUCCCUCUAACCUCCAUCUCUCCUUUUCCCCCGCUCUGCCCAUCUUUAUAGCCCUCUCUCUCUCUCUCUCUCUCUC
rnacentral:lncRNA from 1 species